UACGGGGGGGGCAAGCGUUGUUCGGAAUUACUGGGCGUAAAGGGCUCGUAGGCGGCCAACUAAGUCAGACGUGAAAUCCCUCGGCUUAACCGGGGAACUGCGUCUGAUACUGGAUGGCUAGAGGUUGGGAGAGGGAUGCGGAAUUCCAGGUGUAGCGGUGAAAUGCGUAGAUAUCUGGAGGAACACCGGUGGCGAAGGCGGGUCUCUGGGCCGAUACUGACGCUGAGGAGCGAAAGCGUGGGGAGCAAACAGG
rnacentral:rRNA from 1 species